UCCGAUGUGGUCUAGUGGUUAUGAUUUGCGGCUCUCACCCGCAAGACCCGGGUCCGAUUCCCGGCAUCGGAA
rnacentral:tRNA from 1 species